UCCGGAGUAAGUGCAGAAAGAGGUUAACAAGCUUUCUUUGGUGGAGACCUACUAAAAACUUCUGAAACGCUCUCGUGAUUGAACCCUAACUCGGCGGCCGCCAUCCCUCGCGGUCGCCGGAUCUGAUCUUGAAAACUGUAUUUUCUCCCUUUCCUCUCUUAGAUCUCUUCUCCUCUUUCUUUUAGAGCUGCUCCAGUUGCCCGUGUUCUGAAUAUACUCUAUAAGAGCUUUUGGUUUUUCAGAUCUGUGAUCCUCUUGUAGUUCUGGGUGCGUAGAGUGGUGUUUGUCGGUGGUGGUUAAGGGUUGGUCCCUUCUAUGGCCUCCAUCUGCGUCUCCUAGCGAGGUAAAAGUCUGAGCCUUGGUGUCUCUGUUGUGAUGUGGCCGUUGUGUCUACAAUCGGUUUUGGUUAGUGUUGCAACUCUUUGUUAGGGGUUGAACCCAGUUAGUCUGUCUUGGAUUUUAGAGUUGGUCUUGGUUGGUCUUUGGUUCUGCAACGGUGAAGCAGUGAGGUGGUGUUGUGAGGAGCAGUCGAAGGUUUUAUGGGUUUGAGAUGAAGACAAGUUCAGUUCAUCUCUUCACCUGCUGUGUUUUAAAGGUAUCAUAUCUCGUCCUUUGAAUAAGUGUUCCUGGUUUGCCUUUGGUCGUUCUUCCUCGGUGGCUUCAACUCGUGAAGCAAUAAAAUGAGGUUGAAGUGUGGAGGUGUCCAGAUGAAGGGGCGAUUGAAGAUGAAAUUUCACAGGUGUGGUUCCCUCUGGUGUUAUGUUUGGCCUAUGGUAUUGUGGUUUGGUUGUUGUCAUCGUGAACAAGUGAUUCAGAUGAGGUCUUUGUGCUCUGGUGUUGUCAUCUUGGACAGGAGAUUCAGAUGAGGUUUUGUGGUUUGGUGUUGUCAUCUUGAACAUGAGGUUCAGAUGAGGUUCUGCUCUCCUUCA
rnacentral:lncRNA from 1 species